GACACGCCGAGCAUUGCUUUACACACUGAUUCUUCCACGCUACAACACAACUGAAAUACGGCGAUCGUAAGCUUUGCAGGCAUUAGCUGUUAUUCCUACGGCCAAGAGUAAAACAAUAAGGGUACGCUGAGGUGGAGGAUAAGAAGGAGGUGCAACAUGCGAGACAAUUUUGUAUAUAGACACGCAAAUACAUUAAUUUUCCAAAGUAUGUAGAUACAUACAUACAUAUCUAUAUUCGUAUGUACCUAUGUAUAUGAGUUGAGUAUGCAUGCCGUAACUGAAAACGAUCGCAGGAAGACUGGGGUGCCAAAAGGUAAUCAGCAAAGUGGGGCGCAUAAUCACGCUACGAGCGCUCUAAGCGUGAGGGCAAGGAUUACUGGCAGCAAGCAAUUUGAAACGCCUGCGAGUCUUUCUAACUCUAACCUCAUAUAUUUUUACAAAAAUAAAACAAAAUAAAACAACCUUGGAGUAGGCUUAAAUGAUGUAGGAUAUCACUGAGCCACCUCCACAAAUGGAAGAACAGAAUAGGUCAUAUGUUAUUGCAUACAACAAAGCGUUGUAUAUGCAUGUGCGAUGCAAACAUUCGUACUUCUGUUUGUAUGUAUGCGUUUCCUUCAUUAUUGUGACGUCAGAUGCCGGCAGUCAG